UUGAGUCAGUAGAUCCUGAGAAAUGAUUGGUGAAGAUGACUCCGGAUGUGCUUGAGUGAACACUGAUUGGUGAACUCGGGGGUCAGGAAGAGCGGCCCAGAGCGGCGAUUGGCGGCAGGUGUCCCAUGGAAACGGAACUCAUAGCUGCGGAGAGGGGCUUGCACCGGGGGCGGGGCAGGGGCUAUACAAGGCGCCUGCGCCAAAUCCUGUUCCCGGCGCCAUUUUGUCUCGGCAGCGGUGGCGGUAACUCUUUCCCAUUUUAAGCUUCGUGAGGAGAGGAGAGGAGUCUUUACCCGGUUGAUUCGUUCUUGUGGACUAGGCGUUCACCUUCCGUCCCGGGUGAGAGCACAGUGAGUGACUGAACAAAUCUGAGUUCCACCCACAAAGUUUUAUUGUAAAGAGUAUAGAAUGAGUGAACUUCAGAACCUUUGAAGAUUGUUGCAGAGAUAAUGGCAUUUUUUACAAUCUGGUGGCCUAUCCAGGAUCCAAAGCAUCAGAUCAGAGACCAAUCACCUGAAAGCAAAAUGGGUGCCCCUGCUGAUUUUCAGCGACUUCGUAGUCUGGUUGUGAUCCUUCUCCCCCUUAACCUAGAAUCCUGAGAAUUUCGCUUUCUGAAAAGUGUGACUAAACUAGUGAAAAAGGAAGGAAUGGCCAACCUAUGGGAGUCUGUGCAUAGAGCAAGGAAAAAAGGUUUGCCUUGAGCAAACUCCUCUUCAAUUUACUCUCCACCAUUAUCAGGCUGUGAUGAAGUCCUAAUUUAAGUCCUGAAAAGACUCUAAAACUGCAACCAGAAUAUAAAGGAAUAUUCCAAGUACUACUGAUAACCGAAACAGCUUCCAAACUGCUGAAAAGGGAUGGACUCAUUACACUAGAGUGAAAGGACUAAUAAAACCAACCAGAGAAUGGACAGAUGUAUCCUGAACAUUUGUGGGGGAAAGUCAUCAAAAGCUAUUAGCCCUUAAAUCUGGAUCUAUCUUUGUACUGUUUCUUGGAAUGUUUCUGAUUUCAUUCCCUAAAAUGACAGAACAUCUGAGCUUUUACUUUUAUAUGAAGAACAUGAAAACAAGAAAUUAUGGUGGCUCAUCAAAGUCAACAGAACCAGAUUUUGAAUAUGUUCAGUCAUUGAAGAAAACCAUCUUUUUUAAAGGAAGAAAUAAUCUUGUUUUUCCAAAUAGUUGAAAUGUACAGAACACAUUUAUGUUUUCAGAAAAGUGCAAAGGCUUGUAAUGCAAGAAAGUAAAUUAAAAUGUAAGACCUGUUUGAAAUUCAGCAUUUAGGAAUGACAGCAGAAAAACUAUGUUCAUGUAUUCAAGGAAUGGAUUGUAUAUUUAGUGAUUUCAAAAAGCAGUCAUAAAACUACUGACCUCUGUGGGAGAGAAGUUAGCCCCCUUACUAAAAAGAGUUUUCAGUACUAUUUACAAUGUGUUAAAAUGUUAAUAGAACUUUAAUAUUGAGGGAGCAAUAGAAUUGCAAGAAAAAGUAUUAGAGAUGCAGGGAAUUGUUUACCUACGUAAUAUAAUACCCCAAGAAUAGACACAGAUGCCACCGUGGAUAGUGCAAUCAGGAAUAUUCAAUCAAAUCCUACCUCCUAUACUUAAACUAGCUGUGUGACCCCAGGCAAGUCAUUUAGUUUUGUCUCAUGUAAAGUAGGAUAACAAUAACAUCUAAGUCAAGGAUUGUUGCAAAGAUCAGGUAAAUGCUAUUGUUACUAUUAAUAGAACAUAUUACAAAAGAAAUUAAGAUAGAAAUUGUUAUGGGAGAAAAACACAAAAAAUAUGUAAUUGACAAAAUUUCAAAAAAAAAAAAAAUAGAUUUUUUUUGCAGCCCAAUUCAGUCACCUACUGCAUGGGUAAUAUUUAUUGCUGUAAAGAAUUUGUAUUUUCAAUACAUAUUUUGUUUUCUUCUCUAUUAAAUGAUUGUGACUUAAUAAUACAUAUUUGAAAGUAAGCUUCAUUGAAUUUUGUCCUGUAAUGCUGAAAAAUAAAUUUGUUCAAAAUUUUCCUAUAAAAUAAGUUUAUUUAAAAAUAUUUCUGGAUAACAUUCAUUCUGUUUAUCACCAAUCUAAUAAAAAUAAAAUUUAUAGCUUAAAAAAUUUAAAAUUAUAAAAAUUGGAGCAGUGUUAUAGGACCAAGAUGAGUAGCAUGUAGUUUACUAACUAAUGCUACACGGUGAACACAUACUACCUUUUAUUCACAUUUUCUUAUUCAAGUUUGGCAAAUCAAUUACCUAACAUUAAUUUCUUGUAAGAUCUUGCUUUAAUAAUUAACAUUUUUGAGCCAAUUUUUAUUAUUUUCAUCCUCAUUGUAUUUAAUAUUGAGAAAGUACAAAAAUUAAUACGUACCAAAAGAACUUUGAAAAAUAUAAAAAUUGAUGCUGCAAAACUUGAAUCUCAAAAUGAAAACUUAAGUGAGACAAGUCAUUUUAAUUUCAUAAACAAAAGAAAUGUAGUGUUUUCUUAGGAAUGUUACUUGAAAAUAAUUCAACAGAUAAGCUUAAUUUUUACUAAAUAGAAAUGUUAAAAUAUUUUACUGGCCUGCUCUUAUACCACACUGUCCUGAGUCAGUAGUCCAUUUUCUACAAUUUUGAUUGCUCAGAGGAAGCUAGGUGUGGCAUCAGAGUCGGGAAGACAAGUUCAAAUGAAACCAAAUGUGGUUUCAAACACUUUCAAAUUGUGUUGUUGACUCUAUGCAAUUCAUUUAACUACUGUCUCAGUUAACUGUAAAAUGGAGAUGAUUAAAAGCACCUACCUACUUUCCUGAGUUGUUAAUAGGAACACAUGAGAUGAUAUUGUAAAGUGCUUAGCACAAUUCUUGGCAUUAUAGAUUCUUAAAAAAUGGUUGUUUUCCCUUAACCUCAAUAAGAACAUCUGAAUGAUGCCAUAGUGGGUGAGAUGUUAGACCAACUUUUAGCUAGUAAGUUAGAGAAUGAGAGUCAAAUGGUAAAUCAAUAAAGUUCUAGAAUGUAUUGUUAAAUGGGUGGUUAGCAAACAUCUAUAAUAGGAGUAAAAUAAUAGGAAAUUGAUCACAAGAAGUCUGCAUGACUCCAUCAAGAAAUAACAGCUGAAGACUAAUAAGGGACUAACUUAGUUUAAAAAUUAACCAAUUAAAUCCCCAAAGCAGUGGUUUCAAAUAAUUUCAGGAUUACUCUGUGGGUGAGUAUCACUCACAAAAGAACAAUUCUUCCAGUACCUCUGUUGAUUCUUUUUGAAAUCAGAGUCUAGGUAUUAAUGAUAUUUGUUGAACUAUUCAAUUUUCAGAAUUUAAGAAAUUUCUAUUUUGUCUGAUUUUUUUGUUGUUGUUGAAUGACAAAAAACUACUAUGAUUGGGUAGUUUCAGAAUUUAAUACUUAUUAACAAGCAGUAGUAUUGAAUUACAAUCUUAGGAGGAGGUCUCUAGUGAAGUUCCCCUUAAUCUGUCCAUAAUUUUGUGGUGUUUACAAUUUUUUCCGAAUCUAGCCCAAUAUUUCCAACCUAUCAAGAUCUUUUAAUUGCUGUCUCUUGUCAUUUAUUAUGUUACCUCUUUCAGCUUUGUAUUAAGUAUGCCAUCUAAACAUUUAUCCAGAUCAUUAAUAAAAAUGUUAAAAUCUUAAUACUUUCACAAUUCAAAAGUACAAUAUAGGAGAAUCCUAGUUUGAUGGAAAUUCAUCUGAAAAAGCUCUAAUGAUUGCAGUAGAUUUCAAGCUUAACAUAAAUUAGAUCAAAACUCAAAAAGUUAGUGAGCUAGUUCACAGACAUACUAUAAAAGGAAAGGCAGUGUCCAGAACAAAGAAAGCUAUACUUUAUCCUGAUCAGAUCAGUGUUGGUAUAUUCUGUUUAGUGAUGAAACUAGAUUUUAGGAAGGACAUUUUUUUAAAAAACAAUUUUUUGGAUGGAUUUUUUUUUUUUUUUGAGGCAAUGGAAGUUAAGUGAUUUGCCCAGAGUAACAUAGCUUGUAUGUGCUAAGUGUCUAAGGCUAAAUUUGAACUCAGUUCCUCCUGAGUCCAGGGUCAGUGCUCUAUUCACUGUGCCAUCUAGCUGCUCCUGGUAAAUUAUUUUUAAGCUGAGAAACAUCUAGAAGAAUGGCAGCAUAAUUAAGGAUUCUCAAGAUCAGACUAUUUGAAGACAUGGUUGAACAAACAAGGGAUGUAAUCUGAAUAAGAGAAAACUUAGUUGGAAAAUGGGCUAUAAGAGUUUUCUGCAGAUAUUUAAAGGGAUGUCAUAUAGAAAUGGUUCAAUAAACAUUAAGUGCCUACAAUGCUAGGCAUUAUAAGAUAUUAGGGAGACAAAAAAUAGAAAAGUUAGUCACUAUCCUCAAACAGUUUACAAUCUAAUGGGGUAGACUAUAUGGAAACAUACAGAUAAGAUCUCUACAGAAUAAAUAGGAAAUAGAGAAGGCUUUAAAGAGGUGUUGGGAAAGGAUUUUUUAUAAGUGAUAAGUAUGAAAAAGUUUUGUGGUUGCACAAAGUGGAUUGUAAAACUUAGUAUUAUCAGUGAUAGUUUUAAACAUGGAAUGAUUAUUUUUUUCUUAUGAAAUAAAUUGUAUUCUCUUGAUAACUACAAAA